rnacentral:rRNA from 1 species
GAUGAACGCUGGCGGCGUGCCUAAUACAUGCAAGUCGAGCGAACAGACGAGGAGCUUGCUCCUCUGACGUUAGCGGCGGACGGGUGAGUAACACGUGGAUAACCUACCUAUACGACUGGGAUAACUUCGGGAAACCGGAGCUAAUACCGGAUAAUAUAUUGAACCGCAUGGUUCACUAGUGAAAGACGGUUUUGCUGUCACUUAUAGAUGGAUCCGCGCCGCAUUAGCUAGUUGGUAAGGUAACGGCUUACCAAGGCAACGACGCGUAGCCGACCUGAGAGGGUGAUCGGCCACCCUGGAACUGAGACACGGUCCAGACUCCUACGGGAGGCAGCAGUAGGGAAUCUUCCGCAAUGGGCGAAAGCUUGACGGAGCAACGCCGCGUGAGUGAUGAAGGUCUUCGGAUCGUAAAACUCUGUUAUUAGGGAAGAACAAAUGUGUAAGUAACUAUGCACGUCUUGACGGUACCUAAUCAGAAAGCCACGGCUAACUACGUG